rnacentral:rRNA from 1 species
GUGAACGCUGGCGGUAGGCCUAACACAUGCACGUCGAACGGCAGCACAGUAAGAGCUUGCUCUUACGGGUGGCGAGUGGCGGACGGGUGAGGAAUACAUCGGAAUCUACUUUUUCGUGGGGGAUAACGUAGGGAAACUUACGCUAAUACCGCAUACGACCUACGGGUGAAAGCAGGGGAUCUUCGGACCUUGCGCGAUUGAAUGAGCCGAUGUCGGAUUAGCUAGUUGGCGGGGUAAAGGCCCACCAAGGCGACGAUCCGUAGCUGGUCUGAGAGGAUGAUCAGCCACACUGGAACUGAGACACGGUCCAGACUCCUACGGGAGGCAGCAGUGGGGAAUAUUGGACAAUGGGCGCAAGCCUGAUCCAGCCAUACCGCGUGGGUGAAGAAGGCCUUCGGGUUGUAAAGCCCUUUUGUUGGGAAAGAAAAGCGGCAGGUUAAUACCCCGCUGUUCUGACGGUACCCAAAGAAUAAGCACCGGCUAACUUCGUG